UACGGAGGGGGCAAGCGUUGUUCGGAUUUACUGGGCGUAAAGGGUGUGUAGGCGGCUGGACAAGUCUGGUGUGAAAUCUUCACCGCUUAACGGGAAGGGGUCACUGGAAACUGUUCAGCUUGAGUAUGGUAGAGGCAAGCGGAAUUCCUGGUGUAGCGGUGGAAUGUGUAGAUAUCAGGAAGAACAUCGGUGGCGAAGGCGGCUUGCUGGGCCAUCACUGACGCUGAGACACGAAAGCGUGGGGAGCGAACAGG
rnacentral:rRNA from 1 species